ACAUACCUCUGCACUGAUCACCCAGGUGAUAUAACUCUUCUCUAGGAUCUGCCUACUGGGUGCUUUGUGACAUAUCCCUGCAAUGAUCACCCAGGUGAUAUACCACUUGUCAAGGCCCUGCCUACAGGGGCAUUGCGAUGUAUCUCUGCACUGAUCACCUAGGUCAUGUAAAUCUUUUCUAGGCUCUACCUAUAGUGGCAUUGUGACAUAUCUCUGCACUGAUCAUCCAAGUGAUGUAACCUUUCUCUAGGAUCUGCCUAAAGGGAAUUUGUGACAUAACUCUGCACUGAUCAUCCAGGUGAUGGGGCUUUUAUCUAGGCUCUGCCUAAGGGGGCAUUGUGACAUAUUUCUGCACUGAUCACCCAGGUGAAGGACUCUUGUCUUCGAUCGGCCUAUAGGGGCAUUGUGACAUAUUUCUGCACUGAUCACCCAGGUGAUGGGACUCUUGUCUAGGCUCUGUGUAUGGGGACUUUGUGACAUAUCUCUGCAGUAAUCACCCAGGUGAUGUAACGCUUGACUAGGCUCUGCCUACGGGGCAUAGUGACAUAUCACUGCAUUGAUCACUGAGGUGAUGUAACUCUUGUCCGACUCUGCGUAUAGGGGGCCUUGUGACAUAUCUCUGCACUGAUCAUCUAGGUGAUGUAACUCUUGCUUACACUCUGCCUGCAGGGGCAUUGUGAAAUAUCUCUGCACUGAUCACGCAGGUGAUUGGACUCUUCUGUAGGCUCCGCCUCCUGAGGGCAUUGUCACAUAUUUCUGCAAUGAUCACCCAGGGGUAUUGAGACAUAUCUCUG
rnacentral:lncRNA from 10 species